GUGAGGAAUAUUGCGCAAUGGAGGCAACUCUGACGCAGCCAUGCCGCGUGCAGGAAGAAGGCGCUACGCGUUGUAAACUGCUUUUAACCGGGAAGAAACCCCAGGACGUGUCCUGGGUUGACGGUACCGGAGGAAUAAGCACCGGCUAACUUCGUGCCAGCAGCCGUGGUAAUACGAAGGGUGCAAGCGUUAUCCGGAUUCAUUGGGUUUAAAGGGUGCGUAGGCGGAGCGUUAAGUCAGUGGUGAAAUCCUGCAGCUUAACUGUAGACUUGCCAUUGAUACUGGCGCUCUUGAGUGCGCUUGAAGUGGGCGGAAUGUGCCGUGUAGCGGUGAAAUGCUUAGAUAUGGCACAGAACACCAAUUGCGAAGGCAGCUCACUAAGGCGAUACUGACGCUGAGGCACGAAAGCGUGGGGAUCGAACAGGAUUAGAUACCCGUGUAGUCC
rnacentral:rRNA from 1 species